GGGAUGAUGGGGAGGGGGUUGAUUUUCUUUCGUGGAGCUUGCUGCUUAGCGCUUUGAGGAAGCCGGGGACAGAGGGUUGUUUUAAUUAAAAGGGAUAAGAUAUGAUGGAGGUGUGAAAAAGUAAGAAGAAAAAAAUCUCUUGGGGUUACUUUUGAGAUUUAAAAACAAUGAGUGGUCGGCCGCGGUGUGAGCAGACACUGGCUGGACAGGCAGCGGACGAAAGCCACUGGGGAGCGCGACGGGGGCUGGAAGGUGGGGACCAGCCGGAAUGAAUGAGCCUGGACUGGGACCAGGGCGGAGCGAGGAUCAGCGCGCGCGGCCUUGAACUCCAGAUUUGCAGUCUCGGCGGAGGUGCUGGGACCCCUCGGAUCACUCCUUGUCUCUGGAUACCGGAAUCUCCCUGGCCAGCUCUAAGGAAGAGUGGAAAGAUUUGGCCCUGGAGUCUCCCUUGUCUCCUGAGGCUACAUGUGCCUGGAGGAAGCUUCCAGUGAUAAAUAAGGGCAGUUGUCUUUCCUGUGAGAGAGAUGGGGCUGCAAGGGACAGAAGGGCCUGUUAACUACACGUCAAAGGAAGGGUCUUGAAUCUUUAUCUCCCAGGAAACUUUUGAGGUUUGCUGGAGUCCAAGUGGGAAUAAAAAGACUAGUUGGGGAACUCAGCCCUUGGAUUAAUUAAAAAAAAAAAAUGGUACCAGCCACUUGCAAGAGAUCACUGAUUCCAUAUUUUGUAAAAAGAAAAUAUCAGGGGCUCCUUUGGACCCAAGUGGAAAAGACUUUGGUGCUGGUCCUUUUCAGAGUUUCUGUAAUAAAUCUAACCAACUUGGCAAUCUCAUUUUGGGCAAUGGAUCUCUAAGCAGAAGUGAAAAGCUGGUGUCCAAAGACAGAUCUCUAGACUCCAAUGAAGAGAAAAUAUUUCUAAAACUGUCAGUCGGUGUCCAGGGGAAGGAAUUCACCCUUUUUCUGUCCUUUGGAGUUCUUCCAAAGGGGUCUGGCAUCUUGCAUGGCAUGACAUUUUUUCUGUUUCUUUUUUAUCUAAAGGUUUAACAGCAUGGAUGACUUCUUCUCCUUCUCCUCCUCCUUCUCCUCCUCUCCUCCUCCUUCUCAUUAUUAUUAUCGUUGUCAUCAUCAUCAUCAUUAUUAUUUUGCUAAAAAGAAGCUUGGAAAGACACCUGUGUACAAGAAGGGUGGAUCUUGUGCUAAAAUAUAUUUCUAGAAUUAAAUAUUAAGAGCCUGUAUCAUUCAA